rnacentral:rRNA from 1 species
GACGAACGCUGGCGGCGUGCCUAAUACAUGCAAGUUGAGCGAUGAAGAUUGGUGCUUGCACCAAUUUGAAGAGCAGCGAACGGGUGAGUAACGCGUGGGGAAUCUGCCUUUGAGCGGGGGACAACAUUUGGAAACGAAUGCUAAUACCGCAUAAUAACUUUAAACAUAAGUUUUAAGUUUGAAAGAUGCAAUUGCAUCACUCAAAGAUGAUCCCGCGUUGUAUUAGCUAGUUGGUGAGGUAAAGGCUCACCAAGGCGAUGAUACAUAGCCGACCUGAGAGGGUGAUCGGCCACAUUGGGACUGAGACACGGCCCAAACGCCUACGGGAGGCAGCAGUAGGGAAUCUUCGGCAAUGGACGAAAGUCUGACCGAGCAACGCCGCGUGAGUGAAGAAGGGUUUCGGAUCGUAAAACUCUGUUGGUAGAGAAGAACGUUGGUGAGAGUGGAAAGCUCAUCAAGUGACGGUAACUACCCAGAAAGGGACGGCUAACUACGUG